rnacentral:tRNA from 1 species
GGGGUCGUAGCCCAAUUGGCAGAGGCACUGGAUUUAGGUUCCAGCCAGUGGGGGUUCGAGUCCCCCCGACCCCAC